rnacentral:ncRNA from 14 species
GAGUGGUCUAGGGGCUAUGACGUUCGCUUUACACGCGAAAGGACGCCGGUUCGAUUCCGGCCU